AGGGAAUAUUGGACAAUGGGCGCAAGCCUGAUCCAGCCAUGCCGCGUGAGUGAAGAAGGCCCUCGGGUUGUAAAGCUCUUUUGUCCGGAAAGAAAAGCAUUCGGUUAAUACCCGGGUGUUCUGACGGUACCGGAAGAAUAAGCACCGGCUAACUUCGUGCCAGCAGCCGCGGUAAUACGAAGGGUGCAAGCGUUACUCGGAAUUACUGGGCGUAAAGCGUGCGUAGGUGGUUUGUUAAGUCUGAUGGGAAAGCCCUGGGCUCAACCUGGGAAUGGCAUUGGAUACUGGCAGGCUAGAGUGUGGCAGAGGGUAGUGGAAUUCCUGGUGUAGCAGUGAAAUGCGUAGAGAUCAAGAGGAACAUCCGUGGCGAAGGCGACUGCCUGGGCCAACACUGACACUGAGGCACGAAAGCGUGGGGAGCAGAC
rnacentral:rRNA from 1 species